GAUCGUGAUAGUUAUAGGUUCUGUUGCGGGUGUAGAUGUCGCUGCUGGGGUACUGCUACAUUUUCUUCUCAUUUAAGAAUCGUGGAAAGAAAGAUCGGACUACAGUCGCCGGGAUUUGAAACCCGGAUCCCGAACGUUCGUAACCUAAGGCGCUAACCACUGCGCUGUUGUCACUUGGUGUCGUCCGGUGGUAUUUGCUAUCAACUGCCGCCA